rnacentral:rRNA from 1 species
CCUACGGGGCGCAGCAGUGAGGAAUAUUGGUCAAUGGCCGCAGGGCUGAACCAGCCAAGUCGCGUGAGGGAUGACGGUCCUAUGGAUUGUAAACCUCUUUUGUCAGGGAGCAAAGGGCGCCACGUGUGGCGCUUUGCGAGUACCUGAAGAAAAAGCAUCGGCUAACUCCGUGCCAGCAGCCGCGGUAAUACGGAGGAUGCGAGCGUUAUCCGGAUUUAUUGGGUUUAAAGGGUGCGUAGGCGGUCCGGAAAGUCAGCGGUAAAAGCCCGGGGCUCAACCCCGGCGAGCCGUUGAAACUGUCGGAC